GUCUAGCCUCCCAAGUCCCAACACCAACAGACCAUCCACACAUACAACAGCUAGAGGCACGAUCGAUGGCCGUGAUCAGGGCAGGCCGCACAGGCUUGGUGGUGCUGUGCUUGGCCUCUCUCCUUGUCUCAUCACUUGCUGAUGAUACCUCCGGCUCCGGAUCCCAUGAACGCGCAGGUGCCGGGAGGAAGAUGACGCCAGGAAUGGUGGUCGAUGAGAAGGAUCGAUUCACCAACAUACACGCCCACCGUACCGUCGUAUACUCCUACCGUACCAUCGUACACGCCUACGGUACCGUCAUACAGUGUGCCUAACGUGCCAACAUACAGGCCCACGGUGCCAUCAUACACGCCUACUGUGCCAACAUACAUGCCACCAAUGUACGGCACGCCGCCAUGAAAAUGCCUUGGUUUUCCUGAGCAGGAGGAGAGAGGCCAUGCAGCACCAUGGAUGUGCAAGUACGCAGAAUAAUGACCUCUUCAUCAGCGCGUGAAUGAACUACUAGCUAUGUGUGUGUACUGUGUAGGAGAAUAAAAAUGACCUCUUCAGCGUGAGGUGCACCUUUAAUUUGGGAGCAUGUCUGUAUUCGGUAAUUAUAUAGGGGCCUUGCUGCUUUGCAGGCUCCAGAUGCCACUACAAAUGUUAAAUAUUUGAGUUUUUGCAGUUGUUCUCUGCUGCCUUCCGUUGCAUGCAUGGAAGGCAAAUUAAAUAGUCAUUAUUCUACUUCAA